rnacentral:rRNA from 1 species
CAGAGUUCAUGCCCUAACGGGUAGACCUCCCACCCUUGUGUAUUUAUACUAUGUUGCUUUGGCGGGUAGCACCUCCGGGUGCUUCAGGGCUUGCUCGCCCGCCGAAGGAUACCUAAACUCUGUUUAUUAAUGUCGUCUGAGUACUAUAUAAUAGUUAA